rnacentral:lncRNA from 1 species
GGAUGGUCCAACUGGGAUGGACCCAACUGGGAUGGUCCCAACUGGGAUGGUCCCAUCAAACUGGGAUGGACCCAACUGGGAUGGACCCACCGUGGUGGACACCCAUGGACCCAACUGGGAUGGUCCCAUCAAACUGGGAUGGUCCAACUGGGAUGGUCCCAUCAAACUGGGAUGGACCCAACUGGGAUGGUCCAACUGGGAUGGUCCAACUGGGAUGGACCCAUCAAACUGGGAUGGACCCAACUGGGAUGGACCCAACUGGGCUGGGGGUGGUCCCAUGGUGGUGGCCCCACCCGGUGUCACCCAUGGGUGCCCUGGGGCGUGGUCCUUACCCGCCGUCCCCCUUGUCCUCGCCGUUGUCCUCCAGCCGCGCCCGUUUGCCCCCAGGGCCCAGGGGGUCCCCGGGACGUUUGGGUGCCCCGGGGGGUCCCCAGGGUGACACCCAGUGGGUGCCGUUGAGGUGGGGGAGGUGGCCGUUGGUGGUGGCAUCUCCGCGGGGGACGAGGUGACUGUGGGUGGCGUUUCCGUGGGUGCUGUGGCCACCCAAGAGGUGUCUGUGGGUGGCACCACCAAGGCCACCGAGAAGGUGCCCAUGGGUGCCACCUCCAUGGGUGCCAUCUCCAUGGGUGCCAUCUCCAUGGGUGACGUCUCCAGGGCCACCAAGGACGUGUCUGUGGGUGCCAUCUCCAUGGGUGCCACCUCCAUGGGUGCCAUCUCCACAGGUGCCAUCUCCAGGGCCACCAUGGCCACCAAAGAGGUCCCCGUGGUUGCCAUCUCCUCGGUGACGCCCACAGAGGCCACCCACCACGUCCCUAUGGGUGCCACCACCACCUCCUCCCACCUCCUGGGGGGUGCCCCACGAGGUGCCACCUCCUCUGUUGACGUCCCCCCCCGUUGUCCCCUUGGUGCCACCACCCCCCGCCGUGUUCUUCAGGACAAAGUCCACGAUGUCAGAGGGAAGGUCCUCGCCGGGGGGUGGUGGCCCCAUGGGUGGGGGUGGUGGCCCCAAAGGUGGUGCUGGUGGCCCCAAAGAUGGUGGUGGAACCAAAGAUGGUGGUGGUGGCCCCAAAGAUGGUGGUGGCCCCAAAGGUGGUGCUGGUGGCCCCAAAGGUGGUGGUGGUGGCCCCAAAGAUGGUGGUGGUGGCCCCAAGGGUGGGGGUGGUGGCCCCAAAGAUGGUGCUGGUGGCCCUAAAGAUGGUGGUGGCCCCAAAGGUGGUGGUGGUGGCCCCAAAGAUGGUGGUGGUGGCCCCAAGGGUGGGGGUGGUGGCCCCUUGUCCCCCCCGUCGUCCACCCCGUCCAACUGGUGGAUGUGGGGCGGCAGGGGGAGGGGACAAGGUUGUCCCCGUGUCACCACCGUGCGGGGGUAGCGGUAGUAGGGGCCGCCUCGAGGAGCAGGGUGGUGGCCACCAUCACCACCAUCAUCUUCUUCAUCUUCCUCCUCCUCCUCCUCGCUGCUGUCCCCCCCCCUCCUCGUCCCCCCUGACGUCCCCAAGAGCCCGGCGGCCAAGGCCAACUCGGUGACGUCCAGCUCCUCCAAGGCCAGGUCGGGGCCACCCGGUGGGGACAAGGACACCUCCUCCUCCUCCUCCUCCUCCUCUUCCUCCUCCACCAGGGGUGAAGGUGGCCCCACGGGUGACAAGGAGGCGGGGGGUGAAGGUGGCAUCUUGGGUGGCUUCGGUUCCACCAUGGAUGGUGGCCU